AGCAGCCGCGGUAAUUCCAGCUCCAAUAGCGUAUAUUAAAGUUGUUGCAGUUAAAAAGCUCGUAGUUGAAUUUCGGGACCAAUUUGUUGGUCGUGCCUCGGUACGUACUGAUAUUAUUGGUUUCUCCCUUCUGAAGAACCAUGAUGCCAUUAAUUUGGUGUCGUGGGGAAUCAGGACUGUUACUUUGAAAAAAUUAGAGUGUUUAAAGCAGGCUUUCGCUUGAAUACAUUAGCAUGGAAUAAUGAAAUAGGACGUUUGAUUCUAUUUUGUUGGUUUCUAGGAUCGACGUAAUGAUUAAUAGGGAUAGUUGGGGGCAUUAGUAUUCAAUUGUCAGAGGUGAAAUUCUUGGAUUUAUUGAAGACUAACUACUGCGAAAGCAUUUGCCAAGGAUGUUUUCAUUAAUCAAGAACGAAAGUUAGGGGAUCGAAGACGAUCAGAUACCGUCGUAGUCUUAACCAUAAACUAUAGCCG
rnacentral:rRNA from 1 species